rnacentral:rRNA from 1 species
UACGGAGGAUUCAAGCGUUAUCCGGAUUUAUUGGGUUUAAAGGGUGCGUAGGCGGAUUUUUAAGUCAGCGGUAAAAUGUCCGGGCUCAACCCGGGCCGGCCGUUGAAACUGGCUUGCUAGAGUGGGCGAGAAGUAUGCGGAAUGCGUGGUGUAGCGGUGAAAUGCAUAGAUAUCACGCAGAACUCCGAUUGCGAAGGCAGCAUACCGGCGCCCAACUGACGCUCAGGCACGAAAGCGUGGGUAUCGAACAGG